GCCAAUCACCAGGGGUGCCCCGCGCGGGCUGAGAAACACCCUAGAACCUGAACUGGAUAAUGCCAGCGGAGGGAGCGUGAUGCAGAAGGCCA
rnacentral:ncRNA from 1 species